AUGAAACAGUUGGUAAAAUCAACCUCUAUCAAAGUAGAUGUCAAAUUUGAUGCAAAGAAAUAUUAACGGUCCAAUCGAAUGCCGUUAUUUAUAUAUAUUUUCCAGAAAGUACGACCCGACUAUAAAAGCAUAUGACUGAUUGAUCUACGUCGCACUGCGCCAGUUGGCACACUAACUUUUUUACAAAGCAACAGAAAUCUCUCAUCACUUUUUUGACCGGAAACAUAAAUCGGAAGAAAAAUGUCUGGAAAAGGUCAAGGCCAAGCUAGUAACGACAACAAGUCUGACCAGUAUAAUCCAACCAGCACUAAAUAUGAAGGACAUCAGUCUGGUUAUACUGGAACCGGAACUAAGCCCGACCAGGACAACCACUCCAACCAACUGAAUCCAAACAAUCAGGUAUUUAAGGGAUCGAAAUAACAAUGAAUAUUUAAAGCACGUAUUAUUAUAUAUAUAUAUAUAUGUGUGUGUGUGCGUGUGUGCGAGACAUUUACUGUAUGAACAAAAUGAACAAUUAAAUUAUUUAAAAUUAAA